AUUAAAGAGGCAGAUAGGAAAGAGCCCAUUUCUUUAUUAUCAUUCUCUAAUGGUCGACUUGAUUCCUGUUCAGAUGUCAAAGCAAAGCAUUCCCUUUACCAAGAGAAAGGUAUGAAGAGGAGGACACUGGUUACAAAGACAGACCACAUGACAUACAUUGGUACCAAUUACGAGAUUGAGGGAACCAUGAACACCUUCCCUUUUAGAAAGUGCAUGAGAUCAUUUAUAAUCUUGCCACACCCCUUUCAGCAAAUGAUAGGACGAGACUAUUUAAUUAAAGACCUUUUCACACUAGCAAAAGGUGGUUUCCAAUUAAUGCACAUCACUCUCAUUUCACCUCCAGAGGUGGAUUGUAUUGAUAAAGUGCAUCAAAGAGCUUCAAAAACUGUGUCAGUGUGAAAAGACCUUUAGUGUUUAUGUCCGUAUAUGAUUGGUGUUCUUGAUAAAGA